GCGUCCUUGUCCUUAUUUGCCAUCAUUUAGUUCGGCACUCUAGGGAGACUGCCGGUGACAAACCGGAGGAAGGUGGGGACGACAUCUAGUCAUCAUGGCCCUUACGACCAGGGCUACACACGUGCUACAAUGGAGCGUACAAAGGGCUGCGAUCUCGCGAGAGUCAGCUAAUCCCAUAAAACGCUUCGUAGUCCGGAUCGCAUCUGCAACUCGACUGCGUGAAGUCGGAAUCGCUAGUAAUCGUAGAUCACAAUGCUACGGUGAAUACGUUCCCGGGCCUUGUACACACCGCCCGUA
rnacentral:rRNA from 1 species